GGAGGAAGGAAAGAAGGAAGGAAGGAAGGUAGGAGGGAAGGAAGAAGCCAUCAGUAUAAACUAAUGAUAAUAUUACUGAUGAUCUCUGCUGGUGAAUCAGACAUCACCGACUGUGUCUCUCAGCUCGCCUGUUAUUCACACUGUGCAUCUGAAAAUAACCCAGAACAGAGAGAGUCUAUUAACCACACACACACACACACACACACACACACACACACACACACACACACACACACACACACACACACA